rnacentral:lncRNA from 1 species
UGUUGAUAUUGUGUCCUUGGGGUAGUACUCUCCUUAUAGGGCGAGUUGGGAGUAUUAAACGAGAUAACCCAAGCAAAGAAUAUGCCUGCACAUCGUUGGCACKAUUAUYAGGUAUUAUUCCUAUKAAAUGCUACCUGCUAAAAUGGGUAUAGAAUUUUACUGUUGACAAAGACGAUUUACAAAGUAACUCAUUGGAAACUGACUCAGAAAGGUCAAAAAMCUCAACCGAGUUCAUUUCGUUCRUGAGCACCCCGAUAUCAGGAUCCAAAUCUUUUACUUCUAAAAUGCAGCAAGCCUCACCCUGCCUUUUAAUCACGGUUUUUAUAUAUUUCAUUUGUUAUUUCCAGAUGGGUUAUUUUCAGAUUAGUUGGGUUCUAAUCUUACCUGCCUCAAAAUUGUGGCUCUAACUUGAUGAAUCUCGAAAUUUCGUUUCUUCAUUUUCUGCUGAUUCUCUCCUUUCUCCCAGACAGUUCUCCUUCCGGAACGUGGAGGAGAGAGAAGCCCCAGCUGUCGGACACCCACCUUCUUCCCGCUGUUCAAUCCCAGGAUCGGCAGGUGGAAGUCACCGGUGCUAAAGACGUUGACGGUCUGACCUGGUGUUCCUACCUGUGUCUUCCGACCCCGAGGCUUCGCCUGCUCGGCCCUCUGCCAGGUAGGAGACACUAGUUAUCCACGGGAGAGACCAUGAGGUUUAGAAGUACCUGCAAAAACACUAGGUUAGGGUCACUUCCCUCUUCAUGCUCUCAUUGAGCAUUUAGUAAUAAUAAGACAAAUAAUUACUUAUUAUUAAUAUUAAUUGCAUUUAAUAAUAACUAGAGCCACUCUUUUGCCCUCUUAGCAGGACAGCAGACUGUGGAUCCUCUACCUCCAGAAAGGUCCUUUGCCUGGGUCAUAUCUCAGUCACCAUUUCCUGGCCACGUGACCUUGCCAAGUUACUCAACCAUGACUCAGCCUCUUCACCUCACAAGUGGAAGCAGUACUAGUUGUUACCUAAUGGAGAUUUUUCUAAUCUACCUGUAAGUGCUUAAUACACGCUAGCGGUCAUCAGUAUGACGGUGGUUGGUUUUUGUUUGCUUUUUUUAAAUUUUGAAAAUAUGUUCUUCUAUUUAAGGAAGGGAGACUUUUCUGGUCUUAGGUGCCUUUCCCCACUGCCUGGCAGUCUAAAUUGUCACCAAAGGUUAAGGUGACCCUGUGGAGAGUGAGUCACCACCACUUAGAAGCCGGGGGUGAGUCAGUGGCAUCUGAGGGAAGGUCGGAAGUUCCCCUGGCUCAGAGUGAGAAGAUCCAACCCAGUCCUGGGGUGCAGAACUGAGUGCUUCUGUGGCCAGUUGGACCUGGAGUGUCAUGGAGAACUUGGGCUGCUCAAGUGAGGAGCACAACGUGGAGGCGCGUGCAGAGGCUGUGCAUCACACGGAGCUCAGCUGGAUUGCAACUCCGCCUCUAUCUUGCUAUAUGUGACCUCAGACAACUUACUAAGCCUCUGUGUGCCUCAUUUUAAAAUCAUCUGUAAAUGGAGAUGGUCUUAGUAGAAAUUACUUCAUGGUGUCAAUUCUUGGGAAAAUGCUGAGAACAAGUAAAUACUCAGUAAAAAGUCAUGGUCAUCACCAUCACCGCCGCCAUCGUCACGGUGCCUGGGAGUCUAGUCAGACAGCUCCAGGGAUGAGCA